AACUCACUUAAUUAAAUCUAACCAUCAAAUUAAAACUAACCCUCAUUAAAAAUGUCUUUAGCAAUUUUAACUAGCGGACGAAAACUGUGUCAUCGGAGGAAAAAUUCAGCCCCUAGCGUCCGCCUCCCAUCAAAAGGAAAGAAAACGCAAAAAAAAUCUCACGGCGUCGCCGCCGCCGUUUGCUCCAGAUGUCCUGCUUGCGUUACCGUCAUGCUUGGCGCCGCUGCCACGCAUGCCCGUGCCGAGGUCAGUUAACCGGUGUUUGCUCAGCGGAGAGAUCCCAAGGCAAAAGAGUCGUCACCGUGCAGGAAGCUCUCCUCUGCCCGGCCCGUUGGCGCUGUUGCCUUCAGAUUCAGGCCAAACCGCACGGCUUCGGUGAUGGCCGUCUCUGCUCCCCAAUGGUGACGACCUCUUCUAGGCGGCUACACCACUCCGUCCUCUGCCAGGUCGGCGCCGCGAGGGACGUGGACGCACGCGGGGCGGCUGGCCGCGAGUGAACGAUGGCGCGCGUACGAGUGUGCGCCGCGGAGCACGGGUCUCCUCCCUGCCGCUGCCGAGUUACCUGCUCCCAGCGAUGCCCUCUUGUCUCAUCCAUACAGGUCUGCUCCCUGACAUCUCUUUCCCUCUCAAUCUCUUCAUCUCUUGUUUGUUUUCUCAAACUCACAUAGAUCAGAAAGCUCUGGAUCCACCAUAAAGCUGAAUCAUGUGCGUUGGUUAUCCAGUCAGGUUUCUUUCCUUUUAUCAACUACUCACCCCUGAGGAACAUAAAACAGUGCAACAUAUCUUCUUCAUUACUGCUCACUCCUGCAGUACUGACAAGCAUUUCAUAGGACAUAUAAUGUGUUUCCUAUAAAUCAUACAUCUAUGUGGACUGAACAUAGCAUCAUGAACUACAUAAAUAGGGAAGCGUCGAGGCCUUCAACUAACUUUAGUAAAUCUCUACUACUAUCAAACAAACAGACGUAUUCAUCGCUAAGUACACCCAGCCUAAUCUACACAUAACAACCCCGACCAAUUACAGCCUCACGAUCAAACCCACUUAAUUAGAUCUAACCAUCAAAUUAAAACUAACCCUCACCAAAAGUGCCUUUAGCAAUUUUCACUCGCGGAUGAAAACUCUGCCAUCGGAGGAAAAAUUCAGCCCCUAGCAUCCGCCGCCCAUCAAAAGGAAAGAAAACGCAAAAGAAAUCUCACGGCGCCGCCGCUGCCGCUAUUUGCUCCAGUUGUCCUGCUUGCGUCACCGUCGUGCCUGGCGCCGCUCCCACGCGUGCCCGUGCCGAGGUCAGAUAACCGGGAUUUGCUGAGCAGAGAGAUCCCAAGGCAAAAGAGUCGUCGCCGUGCAGGAAGCUCUCCUCUGCCCAGCCCACUGGCGCCGUUGCCUUCAGGUUAAGGCCAAACCGUACGGCUUCGGUGAUGGCCGCCUCUACUCCCCAAUGGCGACGGCCUCUUCUAGGCGGCUACACCACUCCGUCCUCUGCCAGGUCGACGCCGCGAGUGAAAGAUGGCGCGCGUGCGAGUGUGCGGCGCGGAGCACGGAUCUCCUCCCUACCGCUACCGAGUUACCUGCUCCCAGCGAUGCCCUCUUGUCUCAUCCAUACAGGUCUGCCCCCUGACAUCUCUUUCCCUCUCAAUCUCUUCAUCUCUUGUUUGUUUUCUCAACCUCACAUAGAUCAGAAAGCUCUGGAUCCACCAAAAAGCUGAAUCAUGUGUGUUGGUUAUCCAGUCAGGUUUCUUUCCUUUUAUCAACUACUCACUCCUGAGGAACAUAAGAUGGUGCAACAUAUCUUCUUCAUUACUGCUCACUCAUGGAGUACUGACAAGCAUUUCAUAGGACAUAUAAUGUGUUUCCUAUAAAUCAUACAUCUAUGUGGACUGAACAUACCAUCAUGAACUACAUAAACAUGGAAGCGUCGAGGCCUUCAACUAACUUCAGUAAAUCUCUACUACUAUUAAACAAACAAACAUAUUCAUCGCUAAGUACACCCAGCCUAAUCUACACAUAACAACCCCGACCAAUUACAGCCUCACGAUCAAACCCACUUAAUUAGAUCUAACCAUCAAAUUAAACCUAACCCUCAUCAAAAGUGCCUUUAGCAAUUUUAACUCGAGGACGAAAACUCUGCCAUCAGAGGAAAAUUCAGCCCCUAGCGUCCGCCUCCCAUCAAAAGGAAAGAAAACGCAAAAGAAAUCUCACGUCGCCGCCGCUGCCGCCGUUUGCUCCAGAUGUCCUGCUUGCGUCGCCGUUGUGCCUGGCGCCGCUGCCACGCGUGCCCGUGCCGAGGUUAGUUAACCGGGGUUUGCUGAGCAGAGAGAUCCCAAGGCAAAAGAGCCGUCGCCGUGCAGGAAGCUCUCCUCUGCCCAGCCCACUGGCGCUGUUGCCUUCAGGUUAAGGCCAAACCACACAGCUUCGGUGAUGGCCGCCUCUGCUCCCCAAUGGCAACGACCUCUUCUAUGCGGCUACACCACUAUGUCCUCUACCAGGUCGACGCCGCGAGGGACGUGGACGCACGCGAGGCGGCCGGCCGCGAGUGAACGAUGGCGCGCAUGCGAGUGUGCGGCGCGGAGCACGGAUCUCCUCCCUGCCGCUGCUAGGUUACCUGCUCCCAGCGAUGCCCUCUUGUCUCAUCCAUACAGGUCUGCCCCUGACAUCUCUUUCCCUCUCAAUCUCUUCAUCUUUUGUUUGUUUUCUCAAACUCACAUAGAUCAGAAAGCUCUGGAUCCACCAAAAAGUUGAAUCAUGUGCGUUGGUUAUCCAGUCAGGUUUCUUUCCUUUUAUCAACUACUCACUCCUGAGGAACAUAAGACAGUGCAACAUAUCUUAUUCAUUACUGCUCACUCCUGCAGUAUUGACAAGCAUUUCAUAGGACAAAUAAUGUGUUUUCUAUAAAUCAUACAUCUAUGUGAACUGAAUAUACCAUCAUGAACUACAUAAACAUGGAAGCGUCGAGGCCUCCAACUAACUUCAGUAAAUCAUAGCAACAGUCCAGUAUCCCUGGGCAUCAAUGACAUGUGUUCUUUUGUACUGCUCUCUCGAUUGUCGCUUGUCCAGGUUGCCACCGGGACGAGGUGUGGUGGCGGCCAAGACGAGAACAAUGGGACACUGAAGUCCCUUGGAUGUUCGUGUUUAUCACAGGCGCUCUCUCUUUUCCAUCAUUAUUUUCCUGUAUUUUAUUCUAAAUCAGUGACUACUAAUUUCCAUGUCUACUGGGAGGAAGAAAGUCGGCAGGUGAACCAUUGCGACUAUGUCAAUCACUGCUUUGCUUAAACUCAUAAUAUCAUCCCUUUUAAGCUCCAUAAGACAUAGUUUUGUUGUUGAUUUUUUCUAAUUCCCACUUUAUUGCUUCACAUAGACUAUUUAGGGCUUAUUUGAAAUAACCUGCUCUGAUAGUGCAGGAAAACAUCAUAAGUGAAAACAAAAAAUUUCAUAAGAAGGCAUACAAUGAUUUGGUGGAGAAGACGAAGGCUUUGUGUGGAAAAUUAGGUUUGAAACUCAAUUAGAUUCUAAACUACUCUUUUGGCUGCUACUGCUCUAUCCUUCAAACUUCUUUUCUGAAAAAUUGAAAGAUAAAUACAAUAAUGAUGCAUCUCUGCAGAUAAAUACAAACUUUGUAUUGUUCAGGGCCCAAAUUCUUGAUUGAACUUAUGGUCAGUUUCAAAUAUUAGUUCACGAUACACUUGCCAAAGAUAAGUAACAACCUAUUUGAGCAAAUUGGAAACACAUUCGGAUCAGGAGCAGUAGAAAUUCUUAAGGACAUUGGGUUAUUGAACUGCAUGUACUGAUGCGUGUUUUUUUUUCAACUCAAUCUUGCUCUUCCUAAUUUUGGAACCGUUGAACACACACUGCACACUCAUAGGCUCAUUUAAUUCUCAUGGUAAAAGACCAAAAAGUUGUGUAGAAAUGUCUUCGGGUUCGGGUGAUAACGCAUAUUUGUUCAGUGUUCAUGUCGAUCCAUCCUAUAAUUUUAUCCCCGUAGGCAUACUACUCAUCUCCUCUUAAUAUUGAUUUUCUUAAUUUGUUCCGACUUUUGUGUUUGCUAAAUGCAACUAGCUUCGGCAGGUUUGUUAGGCUAAUAUAAGGUAGGGAGCUUUGCUACAUGAUAAUACACAGAUGAUACUAGAGGAUGUUUUGCAAUUAGCAAGUUUCAAGGUCACAUGGAUGCUGAUAGCUCUCAGGUGUAUGUGAUAUUUGUUGCUGGGUAUUGUUGCAGUUCUUCCUGUUAUGUCAAUGUAUAUGGUUUCAAUUUCCAUAUUGAGAUUGAUAUGGAACUGUCUCAUCUUCCAGCGUGAACAUUAUAUUAUUUUCUCUCUCCAAACCCCAUGAGCAUUCCAGUAAAAACAGUGGCCACUUGCAUCACCACACUAAAUUAUGACCCACCUGUCAGUGUGCGGGUAGAAAGAAACAAAGGGGGAAAAAAGCAUGCACAAGUUGGGAUUUGAACCUAAUAUCUCGCGUCGGCAAACCGCGAGUUCUAGCCAAUUAAUCAUGUAGGUUUUAUUGUGAACAUCAAUAGUGGUUUCUUUUUGUACACAUGAUUACAUGAGCAUGCAGCAACAUACAGUGCACGCGCACACACUCAUGAACCCGAAAAAUGCUAGACUCAUUACUGGCUAU